CCACAAACUAACACUAUACUACAAUCUUGCGACCCAUAUCUGCUUCCCUGUUGAUUCUUUAUUUGACUUGGUGAGUUACAACUAUGUGAAUACAUGGCAUAAUUUCAGUUGCGGCGCCAUCAAUUCCGAUUGGUCACGUAAUGUCUCCGACGGGCAUCUGUAAAACAAAUACAUCAUAUCCACCUCAGGGUCACAGAAAAGGAUCUUAUGAGCUAGAUAGCCAUCUGUGAAACUGCUGUACUCUUUUUGAAAUAUUUGCCUGGUCAUGGCAUGAACUGCUCUGUUGCAAAGUUUUCC
rnacentral:misc_RNA from 1 species